UCCAUGGGGAAUGAGAUAUAGAAGAGAUUUGGGAAGGAGGAUAUAUAAAUGGAGCUGGCAGUAAGUACAGCCAGAAUGAGUUGUGUAAGAAGCCUGGGGGAUGCUAAAAUCUGAAUUUGCAUCUGGUAUCAUUCUCCUUCUGCCUGAAAGAUCUUUGGCAUUUUUUUGUAGCACAUGUCUGAUGUUGGAUUCAUUCAGAUUUUCUCUGUGUACAUAGUCCAAGAGAUUUAACUUCAAGAAAAAAUUAUGUUCAAGUCAGGAGAAAAUAGCUGAUUGAGAAACAUUGACGAUAAAUUCCCAAUACUACUAAGAUAAACGUCAGCAGCAGCAGCAGCAGUGACAGCCUGCACCUUCCAACAUCACACUUCUUCAUUAGUCUGCUCUGACUCACCCUCCUCACUGUCUCCCACCCAAUAAA